rnacentral:rRNA from 1 species
GUCUACAGCCAUGUCACCCUGAACAAGCCUGAUCCCAUCUGAUCUUGGAAGCUAAGCGGGGUCGGGCCUGGUUAGCACUUGGAUAGGAGACCACCUAGGAAGACCAGGUGCUGUAGGCG